rfam:Xenopus tropicalis strain Nigerian Chr07_contig_3402, whole genome shotgun sequence.
UGACCUUGGAAACCAAGAGUGGGUUGGGCCUGUUAGAUCACAUAGGCGACCCAUACUUGGUUUCAAGGGUUA